rnacentral:lncRNA from 1 species
UGCCCAGAAAUAGAAGCGGAUACUCAGCAUGUGUUGAUAGGAGUUGUCCUUUCGUAAUCUCUUGCUGGUAUCAGGUUAAAAACGGGUUUAACCUGAUACCAAACUCUUUGUCGGGCAUGGUGGAUUUAAUGUCUGCCACCGAGGUAGAGGAAAGAUAUAAAUCGUCGAUAGCAGUAAGUGCUUGGUUGAUUUGGAAUGGAAUAAAUGAAAGAGGCUUUCAGAAU